rnacentral:rRNA from 2 species
UAGAGUUUUGAUCCUGGCUCAGGAUAAANGCUGGCGGNGUGCCUAAUACAUGCAAGUCGAGCGAACAGAUGAGAAGCUUGCUUCUCUGAUGUUANCGGCGGACGGGUGAGUAACACGUGGGUAACCUACCUAUAAGACUGGGAUAACUCCGGGAAACCGGGGCUAAUACCUGAUAAUAUUUUGANCCGCAUGGUUCAAUAGUGAAAGACGGCUUCGGCUGUCACUUAUAGAUGGACCCGCGCCGUAUUAGNUAGUUGGUAAGGUAAUGGCUUACCAAGGCNACGAUACGUAGCCGACCUGAGAGGGUGAUCGGCCNCACUGGAACUGAGACACGGUCCAGACUCCUCACGGGAGGCAGCAGUAGGGAAUCUUCCGCAAUGGGCGAAAGCCUGACGGAGCAACAGCCGCGUGAGUGAUGAAGGUCUUAGGAUCGUAAAACUNCUGUUGUUAGGGAAGAACAAAUUUGUUAGUAACUGAAGACAAGUCCUUGUACGUGUACGCUAACCA